UCGGGAAUAUUGCGCAAUGGAGGAAACUCUGACGCAGUGACGCCGCGUAUAGGAAGAAGGUUUUCGGAUUGUAAACUAUUUUAGUCAGGGAAGAAAAUAGACAGUACCUGAAGAAUAAGCUCCGGCUAACUACGUGCCAGCAGCCGCGGUAAUACGUAGGGAGCAAGCGUUAUCCGGAUUUAUUGGGUGUAAAGGGUGCGUAGACGGGAUAACAAGUUGGUUGUGAAAGCCCUCGGCUCAACUGAGGAACUGCAACCAAAACUAUUAUUCUUGAGUGCGGGAGAGGAAAGUGGAAUUCCUAGUGUAGCGGUGAAAUGCGUAGAUAUUAGGAGGAACACCAGUGGCGAAGGCGACUUUCUGGACCGUAACUGACGUUG
rnacentral:rRNA from 1 species